UAAUACGUAUGUCCCGAGCGUUAUCCGGAAUUACUGGGUGUAAAGGGUUCGUAGGUUGCAAGAUAAGUUAGAUAUGAAAGACCGGAGCUUAACUUCGAGUUAGUAUUUAAAACUGUCUUGCUAGAAUUAGGGAGAGGUAAGCGGAAUUCUAAGUGUAGGGGUGCAAUCCGUAGAUACUUAGAAGAACACCAAAAGCGAAGGCAGCUUACUGGAACUAUAUUGACGCUGAGGAACGAAAGCGUGGGGAGCGAAAAGGAUUAGAUACCCUUGUAGUCCACGCCCUAAACGAUGAUAACUUAGUGUUGGAGGUAAACUUCAGUGCUGAAGCUAACGCGAUAAGUUAUCCACCUGAGGAGUACGGUCGCAAGAUUA
rnacentral:rRNA from 1 species